UACGAACUGUGCAAACGUUAUUCGGAAUUACUGGGCUUAAAGGGUGCGUAGGCGGCGCAGAAAGUAGGGUGUGAAAUCCCUCGGCUCAACCGAGGAACUGCGCCCUAAACUACUGUGCUCGAGGGAGGUAGAGGUGAGCGGAACUUAGGGUGGAGCGGUGAAAUGCGUUGAUAUCCUAAGGAACACCGGUGGCGAAAGCGGCUCACUGGACCUCUUCUGACGCUGAGGCACGAAAGCUAGGGUAGCGAACGGG
rnacentral:rRNA from 1 species